CAGUAGAGGCCAAAAACUAAUUGGAAUACUUAUGAAGAAGACUACAGAAAAUACUGAAAAUUUGGCUAAGUAAACAUGUGACAAAGGGAAAAUUUCUAGCCAGAAGAGCCAUAGGCUGCCCCAAACAACUCCAUUAUCUCCCAGGAAAAUCGACCAGCCAGUCCCUGUGCAUCCUCCCAUCCAACAGAACAUUCUCCUCCCCUGAGAGGACAAGCCAGCGCCUUCUCCAGUCACUGUCUCCAGCUCAAAACUCCAGGAUCUCCAGGUAAGAAGACUAAAGAAACUUAAAUGGAAGUAAGAUUACUGCACUUCACUUGAAAUGGUAAGAUGUUUAUGCCAG